rnacentral:rRNA from 1 species
AGUCUCAGCACUCCUGCGGCGACCAGCUGCAAGCCUGCGCCGGCUGCCACGGGCGCCUGUGCACCGCUGCCGGAGGAGCUCAUCUUCGACGUCCUUUCCAGGGUGCCGGUGAAGUCCGCGUGCCGCUUCCAGUGCGCGUCAAGAGCGUGGCACACGCUCAUCUCCGAUCAGGCCUUCCUCGCCACUCACAGAUCACGCCACGCCGAGCCGCUCCUCGUCACCAUCACCUCCUCCUCGGAGCACGCCGGCGGAGGCCGUGAUCUGCGCCUGAUGGACAUGGAUGGCAAUGUUGUGACGGUGACCAAGGACGCAGGUGGCCUUACGUUACUCUCCGCAAGCAUGGAUGAGCUAGUCGGCGUCGCGGAAGUUUCUUCCUGUCGCGUGAUCGACCCUGCCACCGGGAAGGUGCUCGCCAAUUCCUCGCCGAGACAAAUGUUCGGGUUCUACAUCAUGCUUGCUUUCGGUCGCGCCAUCCCGUCCGGUGAGUACAAGAUGGUACGCCUCGUGAACAACCAGACCUUCGAGGUCUUCACUCUAGGAGGCAACGCGGGGUGGAGGAGGUCGAAGCUGCCCCCAAUUCGCGUCAAUGGAAGCUCUCAUGUCACCGCCAAUGGCGUCAUGUACUUCAUGGUCUCAAGGAAGCUAGACGAUGACGGCUUACUUCGCUUUGACCUCGAGAGCGAAGAGUGGAAGCCGGCCAUAAAAGGCCCGCCGAUAACAUCAAGCCCCGAGGCGUGGUGGAAUGGUACACAAUCGGUCCGCAUAGCGGAGCUCAACGGCUUCUUGUGUGUGAUUCAAUCGGAGAUGCAAGCAACGAGUAAUCACAACUGCACCAACGUAUGGCUCCGUGUUGAUGACUCUUGGAUCAAAGCGUACUCGAUCCCGGCAGCCCCUUCGUCCUAUUAUUACAUGCCACUGAGGGUGACACAUGAUGGUGGCAAGUUGAUAUUCUACUGUUUUUUCCAUGGACAAGGACACUUGCUUCGAGCCUACGAUCCUGCCACUAACACA